CCUACGGGUGACAGCAGUGAGGAAUAUUGGUCAAUGGACGCAAGUCUGAACCAGCCAUGCCGCGUGCAGGAAGACGGCUCUAUGAGUUGUAAACUGCUUUUGUACGAGGGUAAAUCCCGAUACGUGUAUCGGGUUGAAAGUAUCGUACGAAUAAGGAUCGGCUAACUCCGUGCCAGCAGCCGAGGUAAUACGGAGGAUUCAAGCGUUAUCCGGAUUUUUUGGGGUUAAAGGGUGCGUAGGCGGUUCGUUAAGUUAGAGGUGAAAUCCUGGGGGUCAAGUCCGGGACUGCCGUUGAUACUGGCGGGCUAGAGUUUAGUUGCGGUAGGCGGAAUGUAUGGUGUAGCGGUGAAAUGCAUAGAGAUCAUACAGAACACCGAUUGCGAAGGCAGCUUACCAAACUACGACUGACGUUGAGGCACGAAAGCGUGGGGAGCAAACAGGAUUAGAUACCCCUGUAGUC
rnacentral:rRNA from 1 species